UUAGCUUUAAAAAGUGCCUCAGUUUUGUAUAAAAGUCUGUCCAAAUGGCAUUAAAUACGUGGCAGGAGGUUUGAUCUCCAAAGAAAUGGAUAAGGUUUAUACUUCUGAUUGCUGUACAAAGAAUCGUUACUCAUGGAGGUCACUGGAGGUUUUCUGUUUUGAAACUCUCUGAAAUUAUUUUGAAGUUCUGAAAAAGUGCUUAAAAAACUUUGGCGAUGCUGAAGAAGACAGCUGGAAGGCGGAAUCUUUACGGUUUACGUUUUAAGCCAUGAGAAAUUCGAUUAAGAAAUUUGGACACGCCUGGUUUCAUUAUAUUUGUGGAUGCAGCGAUACGGUUCUGUCCAAAAGUCUCCAACAUGUGAAGGAAAAGUUGAACCCCUUGGAGCAAUAAAUGGAGCAUUAAACGAGAAUUUCACAGCAGUUCCUAGCAUUCUUAAUGGAUGCAAUCAACAGGUGGGAAAGGAGUAUUUACGUUUCUUACAAGAUAUUAUAGGGGGCCGUUAAAGAAAUAUUAUGUUCGAGUAUCUGAGUACCAUUAACGAAUACCAACUAUGAGACCAACAUUGUUGAAUGAGAUCAGCAAUACAUCAAUUAUUACUUGUCUCGCUCAAGAGUAUAAUAUUC
rnacentral:lncRNA from 1 species